AGGCUGAUGCAAGAGUCACCAGGCCAAAACCAAGGGGUUGGCAGGACUGGGUUCCUUAGGGGAGCCUCCAGAGAAAAGUCCACUUCCUCACUCACUCAGGAUCCUGAGUCCCAGAUUCACCCAGGAAACACACAGCAAGUCAGUGAUGGCCUGGACUAACCCUGCUCUUCUGCCUUUAACCAAUAUUUAAAGUCAGGUUGUAUACAUCUCAAUGGCCCCAAACCCAUGAGUCCUGAAGACAUUUUACUUCUUUUCAGCACCACUUAGAAACCAACAGAGUACAAGAAACACAGAAAGUGU